rnacentral:tRNA from 1 species
GCUUAUGUAGUAUACAACAGUACUUGAUCUUUUCGCGAUCAGAGUAAAGUCUCUUUCUUAAGUU